rnacentral:rRNA from 1 species
GAUGAACGCUGGCGGCGUGCCUAAUACAUGCAAGUCGAGCGAACAGACGAGGAGCUUGCUCCUCUGACGUUAGCGGCGGACGGGUGAGUAACACGUGGAUAACCUACCUAUAAGACUGGGAUAACUUCGGGAAACCGGAGCUAAUACCGGAUAAUAUAUUGAACCGCAUGGUUCAAUAGUGAAAGUCGGUUUUGCUGUCACUUAUAGAUGGAUCCGCGCCGCAUUAGCUAGUUGGUAAGGUAACGGCUUACCAAGGCGACGAUGCGUAGCCGACCUGAGAGGGUGAUCGGCCACACUGGAACUGAGACACGGUCCAGACUCCUACGGGAGGCAGCAGUAGGGAAUCUUCCGCAAUGGGCGAAAGCCUGACGGAGCAACGCCGCGUGAGUGAUGAAGGUCUUCGGAUCGUAAAACUCUGUUAUUAGGGAAGAACAGAUGUGUAAGUAACUAUGCACGUCUUGACGGUACCUAAUCAGAAAGCCACGGCUAACUACGUG